rnacentral:tRNA from 1 species
AAUUAUAUUUACUUCAUUUUUGCAAAAUGAUUCAUUAUAAUAUUUA